rnacentral:rRNA from 1 species
GCAUGGCUGUCGUCAGCUCGUGUCGUGAGAUGUUCGGUUAAGUCCGCUAACGAGCGCAACCCUCGCUGUGUGUUAUAUGUGUCACACGGGACGUGCCGGUCUUAAGCCGGAGGAAGGUGGGGAUGAUGUCAAGUCAGCAUGGCCUUUAUAUCCUGGGCUACACACACGCUACAAUGGCCAACACAAUAGGUUGCUAAGCCGCGAGGUGGCGCCAAUCCAUAAAGUUGGUCUCAGUUCAGAUUGUAGGCUGCAACCCGCCUGCAUGAAGAUGGAGUUGCUAGUAACCGCAGGUCAGCUAUACUGCGGUGAAUACGUUCCCGGGGCUU